GACGAGCCGAGCGAACGUUAUUCGGAAUCACUGGGCUUAAAGGGCGCGUAGGCGGGCCAUCAAGUCAGGGGUGAAAGCCCCCAGCUCAACUGGGGAAGUGCCUCUGAUACUGGUGGCCUCGAGGGAGGUAGGGGCGUGCGGAACUUCCGGUGGAGCGGUGAAAUGCGUAGAUAUCGGAAGGAACACCGGUGGCGAAAGCGGCGCGCUGGACCUCUUCUGACGCUGAGGCGCGAAAGCCAGGGGAGCGAACGGG
rnacentral:rRNA from 1 species